GCGGGUGUGGCGAAAUUGGCAGACGCACCAGAUUUAGGUUCUGGCGCCGCGAGGCGUGGGGGUUCAAGUCCCUUCACCCGCACCA
rnacentral:tRNA from 2 species